AUAUAGUCGUCAAGAAGGAGAAGCAGCGGGGUGGGUGGGCACUUUCCCCGCCCAAAAACACGCUGGGUGUGUCUCUCUCGGCGACACUCGCCACAGGUGCCCGGCCUUUGAUUCGCAUAUCUAAUCCUUGCAUUUCACGCUUCUGAUUAGCAAUCUUUUGGAUUAAAGUUAGUAAUUGCGUAAAAGUGCAUUUAAAUGCAAAAAUAAGCAUGUUUGACUUUGGUUGCAGCGCCCCCUAUUGGUGUAGAUUCUACACACAUUUACUGAUGUGUACAUGUGGGAGCUUGUUGCUUUAGGGGGGGUUCUUAUGGACGAGAUUCGUGGAGAAGCUGUGGAAGACAGACACGAUACAAUAACCUGCAGUCAGCUUCUAACAUCCUGGCGUAUUUCUCAGCAGGAUGGAGACAAGGGGUGCGGCUUAUGAUGUCAGAACAGGAAGUCGGCGGGUUCGUCAUUCGGUACCUAAAAAUGCAGAUAUUCAUCCCACAAAAGAGGAAAGUCGACGCCUUCCGCAGGUUGAGAAGUUGCAGGUGAGUUUCCAAUAGAUGAGGUUUGACAUGUAAAAAAAACAGAGAUGGCUCUUGAAUAAUCGAGUACGUUGUUAGCAUUCAUACAUUCAGACGAUGGCUAACGGUCACUCAGCGUCAUUUACAUCGGCCAACUUGGUUUACAGACUAUGGAAUGACAAAAAAAUGCAACCUGACUGAUGUAUAUUGUCUUUAGAACUUACCUCAUUGAACCUGGAAGACAAACAGCAGGGCUACUAUAUCCAACUGUUUUUUAAUCUCCUGACAUUUCCUUAUUGUUUAUCAUGUGUUCUGUAGCUCUAG